CGGCAUGUAGCGCACCGUCAUGGGGUGUCGGGGUUCGGAGGUUCGAAUCCUCUCAUGCCGACCA
rnacentral:tRNA from 1 species